GCGCUCACUUUAGCAGCACAUAUACUAAAAUUGGAACGGUAAGGAAGAUUAGCAUGACCCUUGUGCAAGGAUGACAUGCAAAUUUGUGAUUUGUUCCAUAUAUAU
ensembl:snRNA U6 U6 spliceosomal RNA